UUUAUGGAGAGUUUGAUCCUGGCUCAGGAUGAACGCUGGCGGCGUGCCUAAUACAUGCAAGUCGAGCGAACGGACGAGAAGCUUGCUUCUCUGAUGUUAGCGGCGGACGGGUGAGUAACACGUGGAUAACCUACCUAUAAGACUGGGAUAACUUCGGGAAACCGGAGCUAAUACCGGAUAAUAUUUUGAUCUGCAUGGUUCAAAAGUAAAAGACGGUCUUGCUGUCACUUAUAGAUGGAUCCGCGCUGCAUUAGCUAGUUGGUAAGGUAACGGCUUACCAAGGCAACGAUGCAUAGCCGACCUGAGAGGGUGAUCGGCCACACUGGAACUGAGACACGGUCCAGACUCCUACGGGAGGCAGCAGUAGGGAAUCUUCCGCAAUGGGCGAAAGCCUGACGGAGCAACGCCGCGUGAGUGAUGAAGGUCUUCGGAUCGUAAAACUCUGUUAUUAGGGAAGAACAUAUGUGUAAGUAACUGUGCACAUCUUGACGGUACCUAAUCAGAAAGCCACGGCUAACUACGUGCCAGCAGCCGCGGUAAUACGUAGGUGGCAAGCGUUAUCCGGAAUUAUUGGGCGUAAAGCGCGCGUAGGCGGUUUUUUAAGUCUGAUGUGAAAGCCCACGGCUCAACCGUGGAGGGUCAUUGGAAACUGGAAAACUUGAGUGCAGAAGAGGAAAGUGGAAUUCCAUGUGUAGCGGUGAAAUGCGCAGAGAUAUGGAGGAACACCAGUGGCGAAGGCGACUUUCUGGUCUGUAACUGACGCUGAUGUGCGAAAGCGUGGGGAUCAAACAGGAUUAGAUACCCUGGUAGUCCACGCCGUAAACGAUGAGUGCUAAGUGUUAGGGGGUUUCCGCCCCUUAGUGCUGCAGCUAACGCAUUAAGCACUCCGCCUGGGGAGUACGACCGCAAGGUUGAAACUCAAAGGAAUUGACGGGGACCCGCACAAGCGGUGGAGCAUGUGGUUUAAUUCGAAGCAACGCGAAGAACCUUACCAAAUCUUGACAUCCUU
rnacentral:rRNA from 1 species